rnacentral:rRNA from 1 species
AUGCUUUCACAGCCUUGCCGCAGAGAGUUGCCGAAGCAGCAGAGGAGGCCAAGGCAAAAGCGGCCACCAGUCACCACCCCGUGCAGGAGUGUCAGGCUCGCAAAGGGAGGCAAGGGAUCCAAAGCUUCCAAGCAACAAGUUGUCAUCAUCAAGAAACUAUGUCUGGCGAACGAGAGCGGUCAGAUUAGCGACGAGGAGCUUGAACCCUACGCUAGGCUGUUUGACAAGCCACUGCUUGAUUGCCACGUGAAGGCCAUUCUGGCACUGUUCGCCUGGGACGCUAACUGCCUUCCGCUCGAGAACGAGGACGUGGCCAUGUUGGAGGGCCAGUAG